CUUCUAAAGCACACAGACAAGACUUUUUCAAGAGUUACGUCAAUUCUUCUUCCUUCCUUGUAUUAGCCAACUACAAGUUGUAAUUUGUAAUCUUCAUCUGCGGGGCUUUCACUUUCUCGUUGAUGUUGUUUCAAAUUUUCAAUUCGUUUUCAAAUGUUGUUGUUCGAAUCCUGCGGAGGACUGUGAACUUGGUGAAGGGAGCCGUCGGA
rnacentral:lncRNA from 1 species